rnacentral:misc_RNA from 1 species
GGAAGUAAAAGUUGUAACAAGGUCUCCGUUGGUGAACCAGCGGAGGGAUCAUUAUCGAGUUUACAACUCCCAAACCAUUGUGAAUUUUACCUUUUCGUUGCUUCGGCAGGAUUGCCCCGGGCGCUUCGGUGCCCCGGAUUCAGGCGCCUGCCGGGGGACCUAAACUCUUGUAUUAUAGUGAAUUUCUGAGUGGAUUACACAAAUAAUCAAAACUUUCAACAACGGAUCUCUUGGUUCUG